rnacentral:misc_RNA from 1 species
GAUGAAGAACGUAGCGAAAUGCGAUAAGUAAUGUGAAUUGCAGAAUUCAGUGAAUCAUCGAAUCUUUGAACGCACAUUGCGCCCGCCAGUAUUCUGGCGGGCAUGCCUGUUCGAGCGUCAUUUCAACCAUCAAGCCCCCGGCUUGUGUUGGGGACCUGCGGCUGCCCGCAGGCCCUGAAAACCAGUGGCGGGCUCGCUGUCACUCCGAGCGUAGUAGCAUACAUCUCGCUCUGGGCGUGCUGCGGGUUCCGGCCGUUAAACCACCUUCAUAACCCAAGGUUGACCUCGGAUCAGGUAGGAAGACCCGCUGAACUUAAGCAUAUCAAUAAGGGAGGA